rnacentral:misc_RNA from 1 species
AUUGCUGAGUGUGAAGGGAGCAGAGAGCAGAAAAGCAAGGAUUUUGGACUCCUUUGAGUACAAUGCUAUAAGCUGCAGGGCUCAUAGUGCAUCAAUAACAGAUUUUGGAGGAGUUGGAGAUGGCCUAACAUCCAACACUAAAGCAUUUCAGGAUGCAAUUAAUAAUCUGAGUCAGUAUGCAUCAGAUGGUGGGUCUCAACUCUUUGUUCCUGCUGGAAAAUGGCUGACGGGUAGCUUCAGCCUUACCAGUCAUUUCACUAUCUUCCUCCACAAGGAUGCUGUUCUUCUUGCUUCUCAGAAUAUUAACGAAUGGCCAUCGCUGAAACCUCUGCCAUCGUACGGCCGAGGAAGGGAUGCAGCAGCUGGAAGGUACGCCAGCCUCAUUUUUGGAACAAAUCUCACUGAUGUUAUUGUUACAGGGGAUAAUGGCACAAUUGAUGGUCAGGGUGCUUUCUGGUGGCAGAAAUUUCACCAGGGCAAGCUCAAAUACACCCGACCUUACUUGAUUGAGUUCAUGUUCUCAGAUAACAUCCAAAUUUCGAAUCUAACGCUCCUAAAUUCCCCAUCAUGGAAUGUUCAUCCUGUUUACAGCAGUAAUAUUCUUGUGCAAGGCAUUACCAUCAUUGCUCCAAUCAAAUCUCCAAACACUGAUGGCAUCAACCCAGAUUCUUGCACAAACGUUAAAAUUGAAGACUGCUACAUAGUCUCCGGAGAUGAUUGUGUGGCCGUUAAGAGCGGCUGGGGUGAGUAUGGGAUUGCGUUUGGGAUGCCCACAAGGCAACUAAUAAUCAGACGGCUCACAUGCAUUUCUCCAUACAGUGCCACAAUUGCACUAGGAAGUGAAAUGUCAGGUGGGAUCCAAGAUGUUAGAGCAGAGGACAUCACAGCCAUCAAUACAGAAUACAGAAUCAGGGGUUAGGAUCAAAACUGCUGUAGGAAGAGGAGGCUUUGUGAAGGAUAUAUAUGUAAGGAGAAUGACUAUGCACACCAUGAAAUGGGCCUUUUGGAUGACUGGAAAUUAUGGGUCACACGCUGAUAAGAACUAUGACCCAAAUGCCCUGCCUGUAAUUCAAGGGAUCAGCUAUAGGGAUAUGGUUGCAGAUAAUGUGUCAAUGGCCGCCAGAUUGGAGGGAAUUUCCGGCGACCCAUUUAAGGAAAUUUGUAUUUCUAAUGUCACAAUUGGAAUGGCAGCCAAGCACAAGAAGAUAAUAUGGACAUGCACUGAUAUUGAGGGGAUCACAAGUGGAGUGACUCCUCGACCGUGUGAUUUAUUGCCUGAUCAAAGGCCAGAGCAACUUACAGAAUGCAAUUUUCCGCCGGAGGAUAUACCUAUUGACUCGGUAAAGUUUCAGAAGUGUUCUAUUGGUAUGCAUUAUAUGUGAGCUUCUUUUCUAAGGACAAGCUCUACAACUUGAGAGUACUACUAGAUACGGAGAUUACUGUGCUUCCUUGUAAACAUAAUAUUAUUGUAGUUUUUACGAGUGAUGAAACUGCUUUUUUUUGUUUUCAUAAACA